rnacentral:lncRNA from 1 species
CCGCAAUGGAUACGACAUAUUUUGUUAAUUCCAAUCCCCAUGAGGUCUUGCAUUCAUAAUCCAAAUGAUGCAUGGCAUGCAUAUUAUUUGAAAAUGGGAAGGCGUAUUUUUACGUCCAAACACAGUGCAAAUGCUAAUAUUUAAGUAUCUUCGUCCUGUCAAGCCAAAGACUCCGUCUCUUGACUCUCCAGACAAAGAAACUUAAAUAGGGGCAGCUGUUAUACCCUGUUUUUGGACCUAAAAUUACUGGGCCCAAUUGCAUUUCAAACUUUGUCAAAAAUCAAAUUUCAACUGCACAGUUCAAAUUGUCUCUGCCUCGCAGUAUUUUCAAUCACA